CCUACGGGAGGCUGCAGUGGGGAAUAUUGCACAAUGGGGGGAACCCUGAUGCAGCAAUGCCGCGUGGGUGAAGAAGCACUCCGGUGCGUAAAGCCCUGUCAGCAGGGAAGAAAAUGACAGUACCUGGACAAGAAGCCCCGGCUAACUACGUGCCAGCAGCCGCGGUAAUACGUAGGGGGCAAGCGUUAUCCGGAUUUACUGGGUGUAAAGGGCGUGCAGCCGGGAAGACAAGUCAGAUGUGAAAUCCCGCGGCUCAACCGCGGAACUGCAUUUGAAACUGUUUUUCUUGAUUACCGGAGAGGUCAUCGGAAUUCCUUGUGUAGCGGUGAAAUGCGUAGAUAUAAGGAAGAACACCAGUGGCGAAGGCGGAUGACUGGACGGCAACUGACGGUGAGGCGCGAAAGCGUGGGGAGCAAACAGGAUUAGAUACCCGUGUAGUC
rnacentral:rRNA from 1 species